CCUACGGGAGGCAGCAGUGGGGAAUAUUGGGCAAUGGGCGCAAGCCUGACCCAGCAACGCCGCGUGAAGGAAGAAGGCUUUCGGGUUGUAAACUUCUUUUCUCAGGGACGAAGAAAGUGACGGUACCUGAGGAAUAAGCCACGGCUAACUACGUGCCAGCAGCCGCGGUAAUACGUAGGUGGCAAGCGUUAUCCGGAUUUACUGGGUGUAAAGGGCGUGUAGGCGGGAAAGCAAGUCAGAUGUGAAAACCAUGGGCUCAACCUGUGGCCUGCAUUUGAAACUGUUUUUCUUGAGUACUGGGGAGGCAGACGGAAUUCCUAGUGUAGCGGUGAAAUGCGUAGAUAUUAGGAGGAACACCAGUGGCGAAGGCGGUCUGCUGGACAGCAACUGACGCUGAGGCGCGAAAGCGUGGGGAGCAAACAGGAUUAGAUACCCUUGUAGUC
rnacentral:rRNA from 1 species